UUGUCGCUUGGAGUUCUUCUGAAUGUUUCAUAUACGAGAAAUCAUCGAUUAGAUAAGAUAAUUUCUUCGUUUAUGAAGUGUUUGGGGGAACUCUUGGGUACAA
rnacentral:pre_miRNA from 1 species